rnacentral:rRNA from 1 species
UACGGAGGGUGCGAGCGUUGUCCGGAAUCACUGGGCGUAAAGGGCGCGUAGGCGGCAUGCCAAGCGUGUGGUGAAAGCCCGGGGCUCAACCCCGGGUCGGCCGUGCGGACUGGCGUGCUCGAGCACUGUAGGGGCGGGUGGAAUUCCGGGUGUAGCGGUGAAAUGCGUAGAUAUCGGAAGGAACAUCAGUGGCGAAAGCGACUGCCUGGUCCAGCAUCGACGUUCAGGCACGAAAGCGUGGGGAGCAAACAGG